CCCGGCCAAUUCCACAAUAUUUUUGAUCUAUAGUUGGUUGAAUCCAUGGAUGUGGAACCCACAAUACAUAGUUGACUGUGCUGUGAAGGAGUUAGAGAGCUUGAAAGAAAAAUGAGUAGGAGAGUUUGUGAAGAGGAGGUGGAGGAGGGCACCAACAGAGAAACUCUCUAAUGCAAAGGCAUAGGGAUUGGAAAUCAUCCAGAGUUGUUGGAUAAUUAUGACAAGGUCUGGCAUCUUGAGAGUAGUGUUUAUGGGAAAAUUAACAGAAGAUAAGGUGGGAAAGUGGGCCAGACUUUGUGAAGAACUUUCACUGCCAUGCUGAGAUGUCAGAACUUGAUUGUGUAGACCAAGAGAAGCCAUUAAAGGUUCAUGUUCUCCUUUGUUCCAGCAACAGGACAAGCUGGCCUACAUAAAUCCAUGAUACAUUAUUUAUUCAGAUUGUAGAGAUUUUAUGGCUAAUAUAUAAAUUUUAUAAAAGCAUGUUGACACUAGUUUGACUUUAAAAUAGAAUUUAUUGAAAAGGAAAUUUAUAAACAAUGCUUUAAAAGAUGGAAAGAGGAGGCUAAUAGCAUUCUUCCAUUGGUUAGGUUCUGUAGGGAUUAGAAUAAAGACUAACGAUUUUUCAUAGUGACAGUAUGAAAGUCUAGGCAAAAUUAAGUAAAUUCCUUGAGAAGAGCAGAUAGCUGAAGCUACGAUAAUGAAUAAGACUGGG